rnacentral:rRNA from 1 species
AACGAACGCUGGCGGCAGGCUUAACACAUGCAAGUCGAACGGGCCCUUCGGGGUCAGUGGCAGACGGGUGAGUAACGCGUGGGAACGUGCCCUUCAGUUCGGGAUAACCCAGGGAAACUUGGGCUAAUACCGGAUACGUGCGAGAGCAGAAAGAUUUAUCGCUGAAGGAUCGGCCCGCGUCUGAUUAGCUGGUUGGUAGGGUAAUGGCCUACCAAGGCGACGAUCAGUAGCUGGUCUGAGAGGAUGAUCAGCCACAUUGGGACUGAGACACGGCCCAAACUCCUACGGGAGGCAGCAGUGGGGAAUAUUGGACAAUGGGCGCAAGCCUGAUCCAGCCAUGCCGCGUGAGUGAUGAGGGCCUUAGGGUUGUAAAGCUCUUUCGGUGGGGACGAUAAUGACGGUACCCACAGAAGAAGCCCCGGCUAACUUCGUGCCAGCCGCCGCCGUAAUAC